GAAAUAAAAACAUUUAAGCUUCUAACUUAAUUUAUAGUGAAAUUCAUUAAUAUUUCU
rnacentral:tRNA from 1 species